rnacentral:rRNA from 1 species
UACGGAGGAUGCAAGCGUUAUCCGGAUUCAUUGGGUUUAAAGGGUGCGUAGGCGGACUAUUAAGUCAGUGGUGAAAGCCUGCAGCUUAACUGCAGAACUGCCAUUGAUACUGAUAGUCUUGAGUUUGGUUAAGGUAGGCGGAAUGUGUAAUGUAGCGGUGAAAUGCUUAGAUAUUACACAGAACACCAAUUGCGUAGGCAGCUUACUGAGCCGACACUGACGCUGAGGCACGAAAGCGUGAGGAUCGAA